rnacentral:rRNA from 1 species
GACAGAGGGUGCAAGCGUUGCUCGGAAUCACUGGGCGUAAAGGGCGUGUAGGCGGGUCGGUAAGUCGGGCGUGAAAUCCCUAGGCUCAACCUAGGAACUGCACUCGAAACUACCAUUCUUGAGUGUCGGAGAGGAAAGCGGAAUUCCUGGUGUAGAGGUGAAAUUCGUAGAUAUCAGGAGGAACACCAGUGGCGAAGGCGGCUUUCUGGACGAUAACUGACGCUGAGGCGCGAAAGCGUGGGGAGCAAACAGG